rnacentral:ncRNA from 1 species
UACUUACGGGAGCUCGUGGGACGGGCUGAGAGGGAAAUGAAAGUUCCGACCGAACCUGAUUUGGGUAAUGCCAACGUAGGGAGCUAAG